AAACAUAGCAUAAUGAUAUUAUAUUAUGUAGGGCCUGCCCGGUGAAUUUUUAACGGCCGCAGUAUUUUGACUGUGCUAAGGUAGCAUAAUAAGUUGGCUUUUAAUUGAAGUCUUGUAUUAAUGGAUUUAUGGGUAAACACUGUCUUGAUUAGGGUUAUAAAAAAUUACUUUAAAAGGUGAAAAUUCCUUUAUAUUUUAAUUAGACGAGAAGACCCUUGGAGUUUAUUUAACAUGAAAAAUGUAAUAUUUUGUUGGGGCGACAACGUAGCAUUUAACCUACGAUUUUAUAUAGUAUUUAACGAUUUUUAAUAAUAAGAAUUAAACUACCCUAGGGAUAACAGCAUAAUUUUUUAAAAGUUUGUGACCUCGAUGUUGGACUAGGAAAUUUUAACAUUAACAAUGUUAAAAAUUUGUUCUGUUCGAACUUUUGUUCCUACGUGA
rnacentral:rRNA from 1 species